rnacentral:autocatalytically_spliced_intron from 1 species
AGGCUUGAGCGUUACACCCUGAAUAGGAAGCCGAGCGGGGGCCGCUUAUUUGACACUACAGUAAAACUUCCGUCUCGCUUUCCUCCAUAUCCUCUUCUUCCUCCUCCCGCUUCUCCGCCUUGUUCUUCGGCUUCAUCAGCGGUUCCGGCUUCACUUCGCGCACGGGUUUGUUGUGCAGCAUCUGCCGUCCGGCCGCGAGGCCUUCGACGGCCUGAAGCUCCAGUCGCUGUUCGUCGC